AUACAGAGGGUGCGAGCGUUAAUCGGAAUUACUGGGCGUAAAGCGCGCGUAGGUGGUUGUGUAAGUCGGAUGUGAAAGCCCCGGGCUUAACCUGGGAAUUGCAUUCGAAACUGCUUGACUAGAGUAUGGUAGAGGGAAGUGGAAUUUCCGGUGUAGCGGUGAAAUGCGUAGAUAUCGGAAGGAACACCAGUGGCGAAGGCGACUUCCUGGGCCAAUACUGACGCUGAGGUGCGAAAGCGUGGGGAGCAAACAGGAUUAGAAACCCCAGAAGUCC
rnacentral:rRNA from 1 species